GUGAACAACCUAGAAGAUCAUGUAGUUUUUUAUAUGGAGAAUAUUAAAGAAACCUUCUUAGCAGACCAGAAGAACAGGUUUUGCCUGCUGCAUGUCUUGGAAGAGAACAAGUCUUCUGUACUAAACUGAUCAUGGAGAACUUCUAUUGUGCACCUUUCUUAGAGAAGCCUGCUUCACUGUUAUGAUAAUAGAUGUCUGCAGGUGCACUGGUGACUUCUCUGACCAGUAGAAUAUGACAGAAGUGAUGCUGUGUGACUUCUGAAGCUGGCUGGUAUGAAAGACACAGCUUCUGCCUGACUCUUUUUUGCAGGCACAAUAUUGUGAAGAAGCCCAGGUCAUGUGAAGAGACCAUGUAUAUGUGUUCCAGUCAAUAGCUCCUAUUAAGUUCCCAGGGACAGCUACCAUUAAUUGUGAGCAAAUAAUCUUCAAAUGAUUAUAGCCUCCAGCCUUUAAGCCUUUUAGCGUCAGCCACCUAGGAACAGA